UACGUAGGGGGCAAGCGUUAUCCGGAAUUACUGGGCGUAAAGCGCACGCAGGCGGUUCGCCAAGUUUGGAGUGACAGUUGUCGGCUCAACCGACAAGGACUUCAAAAACUGGUGAACUUGAGGACGAGAGAGGAACAUGGAACUCCAGGUGUAGUAGUGAAAUGCGUAGAUAUCUGGAAGAACACCAAUGGCGAAGGCAAUGUUCUGGCUCGUUUCUGACGCUCAGGUGCGAAAGCCAGGGGAGCGAACGGG
rnacentral:rRNA from 1 species